GAUGAACGCUGGCGGCGUGCCCAACACAUGCAAGUCGAGCGGCAGCGCGGUCUUCGGACUGGCGGCGAGCGGCGGACGGCUGAGUAACGCGUGGGAACGUGCCCCAAAGUGAGGGAUAAGCACCAGAAAUGGUGUCUAAUACCGCAUAUGGUCUUCGGAUUAAAGCUUCGGCGCUUUGGGAGCGGCCCGCGUCUGAUUAGAUAGUUGGUGAGGCAAAGGCUCACCAAGUCGACGAUCAGUAGCUGGUCUGAGAGGAUGAUCAGCCAGACUGGAACUGAGACACGGUCCAGACUCCUACGGGAGGCAGCAGUGAGGAAUCUUCCACAAUGGGGGCAACCCUGAUGGAGCAACGCCGCGUGCAGGAUGAAGGCCUUCGGGUCGUAAACUGCUUUUAUUAGCGAAGAAUAUGACGGUAACUAAUGAAUAAGGGUCGGCUAACUACGUGCCAGCAGCCGCGGUAA
rnacentral:rRNA from 1 species